ensembl:antisense Gm12984 predicted gene 12984
ACAGACGUGAGCUAGUUCUGGAGAAAGGAUGACGUACUCAGAAACAUGCCUCCCAGUCAUUCACUCAGCCAGUCUGGCGGUGUGCGUUGAGAGCCGGCGGGCGCUAAGCCUUGUCCUGGGCCAUGGACUGAGGGUCCCUACUUGGCUCAGAGCAGUCUCAUCUGACCUUGGACUCACCGUGUGAACCUCCAGCUUGACCCCUAGGCAUGCUGGGAUCCUGGAAUACCAAGCGAAGUUCAGAUACCAGCAUUUUCCAUCUGUCUUAUCUCAGGC